GACGAACGCUGGCGGCGUGCUUAACACAUGCAAGUCGAACGGAAAGGCCCUGCUUUUGUGGGGUGCUCGAGUGGCGAACGGGUGAGUAACACGUGAGUAACCUGCCCUUGACUUUGGGAUAACUUCAGGAAACUGGGGCUAAUACCGGAUAGGAGCUCCUGCUGCAUGGUGGGGGUUGGAAAGUUUCGGCGGUUGGGGAUGGACUCGCGGCUUAUCAGCUUGUUGGUGGGGUAGUGGCUUACCAAGGCUUUGACGGGUAGCCGGCCUGAGAGGGUGACCGGCCACAUUGGGACUGAGAUACGGCCCAGACUCCUACGGGAGGCAGCAGUGGGGAAUAUUGCACAAUGGGCGGAAGCCUGAUGCAGAAACGCCGCGUGCGGGAUGCCGGCCUUCGGGUUGUAAACCGCUUUCGCCUGUGACGAAGCGUGAGUGACGGUAAUGGGUAAAGAAGCACCGGCUAACUACGUG
rnacentral:rRNA from 1 species